UUGAAAGGACCUCGGAUCAGGUAGGGAUACCCGCU
rnacentral:rRNA from 1 species